GGGAGUGUAGCGAAGUGGUUAAACGCUGCGGACUGUAAAUCCGCCCUCUUUGAGUUCGUAGGUUCGAAUCCUACCGCUCCCA
rnacentral:tRNA from 1 species